GUUACAUGUAUAUUGAAUUAAAACACGUCAUUCCCAGUCAACAACUUUCGAUCGGGAUCGGAAUACGAAAUAAAAUUUCUUAUAUCCGGUUGCAAAGUGAAACUGCUUCAUGCUUCAAGUUAUUGAAUUAUGUAGCAAUUGCACGUUACACAUUAGAGAACUGUUCCUUUUGAUAAAGAAAGUCACAAAAUAGAUACAAAAUGAGUGUACCUUAUUCAUUACUGUUACCGAGCUUUCGUCGGUGAAAAUCUCGAAAUGGCGUGUUUCGCUGCGCUUCGUCCACAUUUUCUAUGUGGUGACUGAAGUCUGGUCAGUCGGCAGGCAGCAGUACUCAAUUUACCGCAUUCCUACAAUCCAACUGAAAUUACGGGUAUUCAGAAUCGGCCUUCGAACAGUUGAUGAAGCCCGCCCUGGUAGAUGGAAUCUGCCGCUUGACCAGCAGCACUGUCCA